rnacentral:rRNA from 1 species
UACAGAGGUCUCAAGCGUUGUUCGGAUUCAUUGGGCGUAAAGGGUGCGUAGGCGGCGCGGUAAGUCGGGUGUGAAAUCUUGGAGCUUAACUCCGAAACUGCAUUCGAUACUGCCGUGCUUGAGGACUGGAGAGGAGACUGGAAUUUACGGUGUAAGCGGUGAAAUGCGUAGAUAUCGUAAGGAAGACCAGUGGCGAAGGCGGGUCUCUGGACAGUUCCUGACGCUGAGGCACGAAGGCCAGGGGAGCAAACAGG